CAGCAUGGGACCCACACACAAACAAAAACAUUUCUUCCAUCGAACGUGUCCAAAGACAGGCAGCUCGAUUUGUUACUAACACCUAUGAGAGAGAAGCGAGUGUCACCAAACUUCUGAAUUCUCUGGGGUGGAACCCAUUCCAAGUCAGACGUGAAGCUCACCGUUUGACCUGUUUUUACAAAAUGUUAAAUGGUCAGCUCGACAUAGAUUACAAAACUUACACCAACUGUGAUCCCAGCUACUAAGAAAGAUGUGUACAGCAAUUUGUUCUUCCCCCGCACAAUUAAAGCAUGGAAUAAUCUCCACCCUUCUAUAGUUACCCUACCAGAUGCAACUAAAUUUACAGUAGCUCUUUCUUCCCAAUAACCCUUUCUGGCUUAAUCCCUCCUUUCACCACCUCCAGUUUAAAUUCCAUUUGGAAUAUUUUGGAGGACCAAGAAACCAAGAACCAAGACUCCCCCAACAUCGGGAACAUGUUUCCUGCCUCUAGCAUGUCCAAGUCUUUAAAAUUCUUAUAUGUUUUAUAUGUUUCAGCUCCAAUGAUGAGCAGCACAUAUACCAGAAUUAUCCAAAGGAAUAUCCAAACAAUUAAUGAAGACAUUUUCCGAUGCCGGCCACUAUCGAAGCAAGAGCACUGACGCCGGGUUUAGUUUAGUUUAGUUUAGAGAUGCAGCGUAGAAACAGGUGCUUUAGCCCCCCGAGUCCACACUGACCAAUGAUCACCCAUACACUAGUUCUAUCCUAUACACUAAGGACAUUUUGCAGAAGCCAAUUAACCUACAAAACAGCACGUCUUUGGAAUAUGGGAGGAAACCAGAGCAGCUGGAGAAAUCCCACUCACACAAGCAGAACAUACAAACACAGCACAGGCAUCACCCAUAGUCAGGAUCGAACCCAGAUCUCUGGCGCUGUAAGGCAGCAACUCUACUACUAUGCAGCUGUGCUGCCUAUGGUUCAAUAGAGGUAAGAGUAAAUGAAUGGAAUUGGAGUAGGAAUUUGAAGAAGAUUGCUGGAGAUAUGUGAGAGUGACAGCAUUCUGCUGUCAUUGGCUUUAUUUACUGAAAAAGAGUUAUUUGUGCAUCUUAACAAACCCAAAUUCACCAGUGAACUGCAAAUAGGUUAUUUGGGUGAAUCAGAUCAAAUUAAAAGCUGCAUCACUCAUGGCAAAGGCACCUAUAAAACUGGCUUUUACAUUUAAAAAAAAUCACAGUUGAAUGCUAUGCUUUCAGCCAAGACUCUAGCCAAGAGGAAAAUGAUUUUAGACUUUCUCAGAGGAACAAGACAUUCCUGUCAAAAAUAUUCCAGGCACUUUAUUUGCUGGCUCCGAGAAGAAAACAAUAAUAUCUAUUAAGGAUGGAGUUCAGAAUAAAGUGUCUGUUUCAGAAGUCCAGCGUUGGGCGGAAAGAACUCAUAUGCAAGGGUGGCAAGGUCCAGAUCCACUACAGAAUACCAUAAUCAGAUGACUUUACUACUUUUUCUUAACAUUUGGCUGAUAUGGCCAAUUGUAAACCCCUGCCAAUGCAUUGAUUGGAAUAAAAUGCCUCUGCGUAGAUUGAACAAUAGGACUGGGAUUUGAGCUGCAGGCUAAGUUCGAUCAAGUGGAUGCCAAGCGAUUGGGGCAGGGCCUGAAUACCAUCAUGAGCCAUAAGCCCAAAACUGGGGUGAUCUUUGGCAAUGCCACAUCUCUACCAGAUGACCUCAUGGCUCAUUUUAAAACAGGUAAAGAAAUUUUCACCGGGACGUGUUCCCCCCAACACCCACUGGCUCUGUUCCAUAUAUUUUUUAUGGUUGAAGACAGAUUUGCUUUAAUGAAGAUAAACUCUCAGAAAGUGAUCGGCCCAGAUGGACUCCAUGGACAAGUUUUGAAAUUGUGCACUUGUGGCGGCACCUGGCAGAAUGAACCCUCAGCUCUAGAGGGAGGGGUUAGGUGUCUCGGUGUGGGAGGCGCGGUCACGGGGUUGACCCUUAAGUGUAUUUAAGGUCGGUCUAUGCCUGUGCCCAUUUGAGGAGUAGGGAACUGUAUCUUACAGAUUAAAAUAUGUCUCAAGCACACAA